AGAGUUUGAUCCUGGCUCAGAGUGAACGCUGGCGGCGUGCCUAAUACAUGCAAGUCGAACGAUGAAGCUUCUAGCUUGCUAGAAUGCUGAUUAGUGGCGCACGGGUGAGUAACGCAUAGGUCAUGUGCCUCUUAGUUUGGGAUAGCCAUUGGAAACGAUGAUUAAUACCAGAUACUCCCUACGGGGGAAAGAUUUAUCGCUAAGAGAUCAGCCUAUGUCCUAUCAGCUUGUUGGUAAGGUAAUGGCUUACCAAGGCUAUGACGGGUAUCCGGCCUGAGAGGGUGAACGGACACACUGGAACUGAGACACGGUCCAGACUCCUACGGGAGGCAGCAGUAGGGAAUAUUGCUCAAUGGGGGAAACCCUGAAGCAGCAACGCCGCGUGGAGGAUGAAGGUUUUAGGAUUGUAAACUCCUUUUGUUAGAGAAGAUAAUGACGGUAUCUAACGAAUAAGCACCGGCUAACUCCGUGCCAGCAGCCGCGGUAAUACGGAGGGUGCAAGCGUUACUCGGAAUCACUGGGCGUAAAGAGCGCGUAGGCGGGAUAGUCAGUCAGGUGUGAAAUCCUAUGGCUUAACCAUAGAACUGCAUUUGAAACUACUAUUCUAGAGUGUGGGAGAGGUAGGUGGAAUUCUUGGUGUAGGGGUAAAAUCCGUAGAGAUCAAGAGGAAUACUCAUUGCGAAGGCGACCUGCUGGAACAUUACUGACGCUGAUUGCGCGAAAGCGUGGGGAGCAAACAGGAUUAGAUACCCUGGUAGUCCACGCCCUAAACGAUGGAUGCUAGUUGUUGGAGGGCUUAGUCUCUCCAGUAAUGCAGCUAACGCAUUAAGCAUCCCGCCUGGGGAGUACGGUCGCAAGAUUAAAACUCAAAGGAAUAGACGGGGACCCGCACAAGCGGUGGAGCAUGUGGUUUAAUUCGAAGAUACACGAAGAACCUUACCUAGGCUUGACAUUGAGAGAAUCCGCUAGAAAUAGUGGAGUGUCUGGCUUGCCAGACCUUGAAAACAGGUGCUGCACGGCUGUCGUCAGCUCGUGUCGUGAGAUGUUGGGUUAAGUCCCGCAACGAGCGCAACCCCCUUUCUUAGUUGCUAACAGGUUAUGCUGAGAACUCUAAGGAUACUGCCUCCGUAAGGAGGAGGAAGGUGGGGACGACGUCAAGUCAUCAUGGCCCUUACGCCUAGGGCUACACACGUGCUACAAUGGGGUGCACAAAGAGAAGCAAUACUGCGAAGUGGAGCCAAUCUUCAAAACACCUCUCAGUUCGGAUUGUAGGCUGCAACUCGCCUGCAUGAAGCUGGAAUCGCUAGUAAUCGCAAAUCAGCCAUGUUGCGGUGAAUACGUUCCCGGGUCUUGUACUCACCGCCCGUCACACCAUGGGAGUUGUGUUUGCCUUAAGUCAGGAUGCUAAAUUGGCUACUGCCCACGGCACACACAGCGACUGGGGUGAAGUCGUAACAAGGUAACCGUAGGUGAACCUGCGGUUG
rnacentral:rRNA from 1 species